AAAUUGAAGAGUUUGAUCAUGGCUCAGAUUGAACGCUGGCGGAAGGCCUAACACAUGCAAGUCGAACGGUAACAGGAAGCAGCUUGCUGCUUUGCUGACGAGUGGCGGACGGGUGAGUAAUGUCUGGGAAACUGCCUGAUGGAGGGGGAUAACUACUGGAAACGGUGGCUAAUACCGCAUAACGUCGCAAGACCAAAGAGGGGGACCUUCGGGCCUCUUGCCAUCAGAUGUGCCCAGAUGGGAUUAGCUUGUUGGUGAGGUAACGGCUCACCAAGGCGACGAUCCCUAGCUGGUCUGAGAGGAUGACCAGCCACACUGGAACUGAGACACGGUCCAGACUCCUACGGGAGGCAGCAGUGGGGAAUAUUGCACAAUGGGCGCAAGCCUGAUGCAGCCAUGCCGCGUGUAUGAAGAAGGCCUUCGGGUUGUAAAGUACUUUCAGCGGGGAGGAAGGUGUUGUGGUUAAUAACCGCAGCAAUUGACGUUACCCGCAGAAGAAGCACCGGCUAACUCCGUGCCAGCAGCCGCGGUAAUACGGAGGGUGCAAGCGUUAAUCGGAAUUACUGGGCGUAAAGCGCACGCAGGCGGUCUGUCAAGUCGGAUGUGAAAUCCCCGGGCUCAACCUGGGAACUGCAUUCGAAACUGGCAGGCUUGAGUCUUGUAGAGGGGGGUAGAAUUCCAGGUGUAGCGGUGAAAUGCGUAGAGAUCUGGAGGAAUACCGGUGGCGAAGGCGGCCCCCUGGACAAAGACUGACGCUCAGGUGCGAAAGCGUGGGGAGCAAACAGGAUUAGAUACCCUGGUAGUCCACGCCGUAAACGAUGUCUACUUGGAGGUUGUGCCCUUGAGGCGUGGCUUCCGGAGCUAACGCGUUAAGUAGACCGCCUGGGGAGUACGGCCGCAAGGUUAAAACUCAAAUGAAUUGACGGGGGCCCGCACAAGCGGUGGAGCAUGUGGUUUAAUUCGAUGCAACGCGAAGAACCUUACCUGGUCUUGACAUCCACGGAAGUUUUCAGAGAUGGAUUGUGCCUUCGGGAACCGUGAGACAGGUGCUGCAUGGCUGUCGUCAGCUCGUGUUGUGAAAUGUUGGGUUAAGUCCCGCAACGAGCGCAACCCUUAUCCUUUGUUGCCAGCGGUCCGGCCGGGAACUCAAAGGAGACUGCCAGUGAUAAACUGGAGGAAGGUGGGGAUGACGUCAAGUCAUCAUGGCCCUUACGACCAGGGCUACACACGUGCUACAAUGGCGCAUACAAAGAGAAGCGACCUCGCGAGAGCAAGCGGACCUCAUAAAGUGCGUCGUAGUCCGGAUUGGAGUCUGCAACUCGACUCCAUGAAGUCGGAAUCGCUAGUAAUCGUGGAUCAGAAUGCCACGGUGAAUACGUUCCCGGGCCUUGUACACACCGCCCGUCACACCAUGGGAGUGGGUUGCAAAAGAAGUAGGUAGCUUAACCUUCGGGAGGGCGCUUACCACUUUGUGAUUCAUGACUGGGGUGAAGUCGUAACAAGGUAACCGUAGGGGAACCUGCGGUUGGAUCACCUCCUUACCUUAAAGAAGC
rnacentral:rRNA from 1 species